rnacentral:rRNA from 1 species
AGUGAACGCUGGCGGUAGGCCUAACACAUGCAAGUCGAACGGCAGCACAGUAAGAGCUUGCUCUUACGGGUAGCGAGUGGCGGACGGGUGAGGAAUACAUCGGAAUCUACUUUUUCGUGGGGGAUAACGUAGGGAAACUUACGCUAAUACCGCAUACGACCUACGGGUGAAAGCAGGGGAUCUUCGGACCUUGCGCGAUUGAAUGAGCCGAGGUCGGAUUAGCUAGUUGGCGGGGUAAAGGCCCACCAAGGCGACGAUCCGUAGCUGGUCUGAGAGGAUGAUCAGCCACACUGGAACUGAGACACGGUCCAGACUCCUACGGGAGGCAGCAGUGGGGAAUAUUGGACAAAGGGCGCAAGCCUGAUCCAGCCAUACCGCGUGGGUGAAGAAGGCCUUCGGGUUGUAAAGCCCUUUUGUUGGGAAAGAAAAGCAGCAGGUUAAUACCCCGCUGUUCUGACGGUACCCAAAGAAUAAGCACCGGCUAACUUCGUG